UACGUAGGGUGCAAGCGUUGUCCGGAAUUAUUGGGCGUAAAGAGCUCGUAGGCGGUUUGUCGCGUCUGCCGUGAAAGUCCGGGGCUCAACUCCGGAUCUGCGGUGGGUACGGGCAGACUAGAGUGAUGUAGGGGAGACUGGAAUUCCUGGUGUAGCGGUGAAAUGCGCAGAUAUCAGGAGGAACACCGAUGGCGAAGGCAGCUCGCUGGGACGGUACUGACGCUGAGACGCGAAAGCGUGGGGAGCGAACAGG
rnacentral:rRNA from 1 species